rnacentral:rRNA from 1 species
UACGUAGGUGGCAAGCGUUGUCCGGAUUUAUUGGGCGUAAAGCGCGCGCAGGCGGUUUCUUAAGUCUGAUGUGAAAGGCCUCGGCUUAACCGAGGAGGGUCAUUGGAAACUGGGAGACUUGAGUGCAGAAGAGGAAAGUGGAAUUCCAAGUGUAGCGGUGAAAUGCGUAGAGAUUUGGAGGAACACCAGUGGCGAAGGCGACUUUCUGGUCUGUAACUGACGCUGAGGCGCGAAAGCGUGGGGAGCAAACAGG